GACGAACGCUGGCGGCGUGCUUAACACAUGCAAGUCGAACGGAAAGGCCCUGCUUUUGUGGGGUGCUCGAGUGGCGAACGGGUGAGUAACACGUGAGUAACCUGCCCUUGACUUUGGGAUAACUUCAGGAAACUGGGGCUAAUACCGGAUAGGAGCUCCUGCUGCAUGGUGUGGGUUGGAAAGUUUCGGCGGUUGGGGAUGGACUCGCGGCUUAUCAGCUUGUUGGUGGGGUAGUGGCUUACCAAGGCUUUGACGGGUAGCCGGCCUGAGAGGGUGACCGGCCACAUUGGGACUGAGAUACGGCGCAGACGGCUACGGGAGGCAGCAGUGGGGAAUAUUGCACAAUGGGCGGACGCCUGAUGCAGCAACGCCGCGUGCGGGAUGACGGCCUUCGGGUUGUAAACCGCUUUCGCCUGUGACGAAGCGUGAGUGACGGUAAUGGGUAAAGAAGCACCGGCUAACUACGUG
rnacentral:rRNA from 1 species